rnacentral:rRNA from 1 species
GAUGAACGCUAGCGGCAGGCUUAAUACAUGCAAGUCGAGGGGCAGCGGGAGUAGCAAUACUUGCCGGCGACCGGCGCACGGGUGCGUAACACGUAUGUAAUCUGCCCAUCACAGGAGGAUAGCCCGGAGAAAUUCGGAUUAAUACUCCAUAAUAGAAGAUAAAGCAUUUUAUUUUCUUGAAAGUUCCGACGGUGAUGGAUGAACAUGCGACUGAUUAGUUUGUUGGUGAGGUAACGGCUCACCAAGACUACGAUCAGUAGGGGUACUGAGAGGUUAAACCCCCACACUGGUACUGAGACACGGACCAGACUCCUACGGGAGGCAGCAGUGGGGAAUAUUGCACAAUGGGCGAAAGCCUGAUGCAGCGACGCCGCGUGAGGGAUGACGGCCUGGUUGUAACGUACUUCUAGC